GUCGAGCGGUAACAGGUGUAGCAAUACAUGCUGACGAGCGGCGAACGGGUGAGUAAUGCUUUGGAAUCUUCCCAGUAGUGGGGAAUAACCAGUCGAAAGAUUGGCUAAUACCGCAUACGUCCGAAAGGGGAAAGCGGGGGCUCGUAAGACCUCGCGCUAUUGGAUGAGCCAAAGUCGGAUUAGCUAGUUGGUGGGGUAAUGGCCUACCAAGGCGACAAUCCGUAGCUGGUCUGAGAGGACGACCAGCCACACCGGAACUGAGACACGGUCCGGACUCCUACGGGAGGCAGCAGUGGGGAAUAUUGGACAAUGGGGGAAACCCUGAUCCAGCGACGCCGCGUGUGUGAAGAAGGCCUGCGGGUUGUAAAGUACUUUUAGUGGGGAGAAAAAGCCACGGAUUAAUACUUUGUGGUCUUGAUAUAACCUACAGAAAAAGCACCGGCUAACUCUGUGCCAGCAGCCGCG
rnacentral:rRNA from 1 species